rnacentral:lncRNA from 1 species
CAUAAGGAUGAUCCGGGUAUAUGGUUUGUAAAAUUUUAAAAUCAAUUUUUACCAUGUUUCUGCUACUUUGAUUGUGUAUACGAAUAUUACAAACCUAACAGCAUGUUCAAUUGCUUUGUUCAAAAAGUUAGACACUCCAUAACGAUAAGCUGAGACUAAUCCCCUCUCAUCAAUGGGUAUCCUAAGGUACAUCCAACUUUGGUCGGCUGACAUCUUUAACUGAACAAAAGACACAUUCAGUAUAGAGAUAUUCAUGUAUGUGGUCCAUGCAUGAAUUAUAUUUUCCUAGUAUCUCCACUCUAUAAGACAGGGAUAAGGCUUCUAUCCCGUUCUUGGAUGUGUCUUCUUACUAAUGCCAACACGUUGACCAUGUUUUAAGAAAAUUUUGACAGCACCUCCCCAUGGUCUCCAAGUACACGAAAUAGACAAAGAUAACUUAAUCUAAGUAUGCACUCGAAGAACAUGUAGAGAUAACAGUCGAAAAAUCCUCGAACUAAAAAACAUACCCUAUGAAUUGGCAUCGGCCUAAGUGAGAG